rnacentral:misc_RNA from 1 species
GAAAUGCGAUAAGUAGUGUGAAUUGCAGAAUUCAGUGAAUCAUCGAAUCUUUGAACGCACAUUGCGCCCCUCGGUAUUCCGUGGGGCAUGCCUGUUCGAGCGUCAUUUGUACCCUCAAGCUCUGCUUGGUGUUGGGUGUUUGUCCCGUCUCCGCGCGUGGACUCGCCCCAAAGUGAUUGGCAGCCGGCGUACUGGUCCCGGAGCGCAGCACAUGUCGCGCAAACGAGUGCCUUGGUACGGCGGCGUCCAUAAGCCCCUCUCUCACGCUCUUGACCUCGGAUCAGGUAGGGAUACCCGCUGAACUUAAGC